rnacentral:rRNA from 1 species
UACGUAGGGUGCAAGCGUUGUCCGGAAUUAUUGGGCGUAAAGAGCUCGUAGGCGGUUUGUCGCGUCUGCUGUGAAAACCCGAGGCUCAACCUCGGGCCUGCAGUGGGUACGGGCAGACUAGAGUGAUGUAGGGGAGACUGGAAUUCCUGGUGUAGCGGUGAAAUGCGCAGAUAUCAGGAGGAACACCGGUGGCGAAGGCUGGGUCUCUGGGCCGAUACUGACGCUGAGGAGCGAAAGCGUGGGGAGCGAACAGG